AGAAGAAAGGCAUGAAAGAGGGAUCCUUAUGUUCUAUGCAGGUCUUGCCCCAGGCACAGAAACAGAACUCUUGAAAGUUUGCUUCAGUAAAUUCAAGCCACACUGAGAUACCAGACACUCUACUUACUCAGAUUCAAGGGAGUGACAUAGAAAAAGAAGUGGAAGGAAGGAGGAGAAUUGUCUCAAAACCAGCUAAGAAGGCAGGAGCUGUGCUGGAAAACAAUACCUUCAGAAGUUGACCGCUCUGGUGGCGCUGGUAUCCGAGCACAAAGCGCCACAGCCAGCACGGUGUUCCAAACAGCGGCGAUGGCCACGCCAACCAGCUCGAGC
rnacentral:lncRNA from 1 species